rnacentral:rRNA from 1 species
CCUACGGGAGGCAGCAGUGAGGAAUAUUGGUCAAUGGGCUUACGCCUGAACCAGCCAAGUCGCGUGAGGGAAGACUGCACUAUGGGUUGUAAACCUCUUUUGUCAGGGAGCAACGCCGGCUACGUGUAGCCGGACUGAGAGUACCUGAAGAAAAAGCAUCGGCUAACUCCGUGCCAGCAGCCGCGGUAAUACGGAGGAUGCGAGCGUUAUCCGGAUUUAUUGGGUUUAAAGGGUGCGUAGGCGGAAUGCCAAGUCAGCGGUAAAAGCGCGGGGCUCAACCCCGCCCCGCCGUUGAAACUGGGGAUCUAGAGUGUGCGAGAGGUAUGCGGAAUGCGUGGUGUAGCGGUGAAAUGCAUAGAUAUCACGCAGAACCCCGAUUGCGAAGGCAGCAUACCGGUUCACAACUGACGCUCAGGCACGAAAGCGUGGGUAUCGAACAGGAUUAGAUACCCGAGUAGUC